rnacentral:rRNA from 1 species
CAGUCGAGCGGAACGAGGGUAGCUUGCUACCAGGCGUCGAGCGGCGGACGGGUGAGUAAUGCUUAGGAAUCUACCGAGUAGUGGGGGAUAGCCAUUGGAAACGAUGAUUAAUACCGCAUAUAUCCUACGGGGGAAAGCAGGGGACCUUCGGGCCUUGCGCUAUUCGAUGAGCCUGAGUGAGAUUAGCUAGUUGGUGGGGUAAAGGCCUACCAAGGCGACGAUCUCUAGCUGGUCUGAGAGGAUGAUCAGCCACACUGGGACUGAGACACGGCCCAGACUCCUACGGGAGGCAGCAGUGGGGAAUAUUGCACAAUGGACGAAAGUCUGAUGCAGCCAUGCCGCGUGUGUGAAGAAGGCCUUCGGGUUGUAAAGCACUUUCAGCGAGGAGGAAAGGUCAGUAAGUAAUAUUUGCUGGCUGUGACGUUACUCGCAGAAGAAGCACCGGCUAAUUUAGUGCCAGCAGCCGCGGUAAUACUAAAGGUGCAAGCGUUAAUCGGAAUUACUGGGCGUAAAGCGCGCGUAGGUGGUUUGUUAAGUUGGAUGUGAAAGCCCAGGGCUCAACCUUGGAACUGCAUUCAAAACUGACUCACUAGAGUACGAGAGAGGUUAGUGGAAUUUCCUGUGUAGCGGUGAAAUGCGUAGAGAUGGGAAGGAACACCAGUGGCGAAGGCGACUGACUGGCUCGAUACUGACACUGAGGUGCGAAAGCGUGGGGAGCAAACGGGAUUAGAUACCCCGGUAGUCCACGCCGUAAACGAUGUCUACUAGCCGUUGGAGGACUUGAUCCUUUAGUGGCGCAGCUAACGCGAUAAGUAGACCGCCUGGGGAGUACGGUCGCAAGAUUAAAACUCAAAUGAAUUGACGGGGGCCCGCACAAGNNNUGGAGCAUNNNNNNNAAUUCGAAGCAACGCGAAGAACCUUACCUACUCUUGACNUCCAGNGNACUUUUGAGAGAUCAAUUGGUGCCUUCNGGAACACUGA